rnacentral:rRNA from 1 species
UACAGAGGUCCCGAGCGUUGUUCGGAUUCAUUGUGCGUAAAGGGUGCGUAGGCGGCGGGGAAAGUCUGAUGUGAAAUCCUGGGGCUCAACCCUGGAACUGCAUUGGAUACUUCCUUGCUAGAGUACUGGAGAGGAAACUGGAAUUUACGGUGUAGCAGUGAAAUGCGUAGAGAUCGUAAGGAAGACCAGUGGCGAAGGCGAGUUUCUGGACAGUUACUGACGCUGAGGUGCGAAAGCGUGGGGAGCAAACAGG